GCUUACGAGUGGGCGUCCGGCGAAAACUGCUCGGCUUGGGACCGGAAGAUCCAAGGGGUACGUCCGGGGUAGGAGUGAAAUCCCGUAAUCCUGGACGGACCACCGAUGGCGAAAGCACCUUGGAAGGACGGAUCCGACAGUGAGGGACGAAAGCUAGGGUCUCGAACCGGAUUAGAUACCCGGGUAGUCCUAGCCGUAAACGAUGCUCGCUAGGUGUGGCGCAGGCUACGAGCCUGCGCUGUGCCGUAGGGAAGCCGUGAAGCGAGCCGCCUGGGAAGUACGUCUGCAAGGAUGAAACUUAAAGGAAUUGGCGGGGGAGCACUACAACCGGAGGAGCCUGCGGUUUAAUUGGACUCAACGCCGGACAUCUCACCAGCUCCGACAGCAGUAAUGACGGUCAGGUUGAUGACCUUACCCGACGCUGCUGAGAGGAGGUGCAUGGCCGCCGUCAGCUCGUACCGUGAGGCGUCCUGUUAAGUCAGGCAACGAGCGAGACCCGCACCUCUAGUUGCCAGCAGCAUCUCGCGAUGGCUGGGUACACUAGGGGGACUGCCGUCGCUAAGACGGAGGAAGGAACGGGCAACGGUAGGUCCGCAUGCCCCGAAA
rnacentral:rRNA from 1 species